GGACGAACGCUGGCGGCGUGCUUAACACAUGCAAGUCGAGCGGUAAGGCCCUUUCGGGGGUACACGAGCGGCGAACGGGUGAGUAACACGUGGGUGACCUGCCCUCAGCUCUGGGAUAAGCCUGGGAAACUGGGUCUAAUACUGGAUAUGACUCCACGGUGCAUGUCGUGGGGUGGAAAGCCUUGUGCGGCUGAGGAUGGGCCCGCGGCCUAUCAGCUUGUUGGUGGGGUGANGGCCUACCAAGGCGACGACGGGUAGCCGGCCUGAGAGGGCGACCGGCCACACUGGGACUGAGACACGGCCCAGACUCCUACGGGAGGCAGCAGUGGGGAAUCUUGCGCAAUGGGCGAAAGCCUGACGCAGCGACGCCGCGUGAGGGAUGAC
rnacentral:rRNA from 1 species